GACGAACGCUGGCGGCGUGCUUAACACAUGCAAGUCGAACGGAAAGUCCCUGCUUGUGUGGGGUGCUCGACUGGCGAACGGGUGAGUAACACGUGAGUAACCUGCAAUUGACUUUGGGAUAACUUCAGGAAACUGGGGCUAAUACCGGCUAGGAGCUCCUGCUGCUUGGUGGGGGUUGGAAAGUUUAGGCGGUUGGGAAUGGACUCGCGGCUUAUCAGCUUGUUGCAUGGGUAGUGGCUUAGCAAGGCAUGGAACCGUAGCAGGCCUGCGCGGGUCACCGGCGACAUUAGGACGGGACUACGGCACAGACUCCACUGGUAGGCAGCAGUGGAGAAUAGUACACAAGGCGAGGAACGAUGAUGCAGUCACGCAGCGCGGGGGAUGACGUGCUUGGGUUUGUAAACUGAUUUCGCUUGUGACGAGACGAGAGUGACGGUACCGGGUGAAGAAGCACCGGCUAACUACGUG
rnacentral:rRNA from 1 species